AGUAGAACCACAUGGAACAAAUAUCAAUAGGUUCACAGGGUUAUAAGAUGCUGCCUGGCCUGCUGGGUUCCUCCAGCAUUAUUUGUGUUUUUCAAGAAAGAGCAGCAUCCUUUUUCACUUGUACAAUUCAUCGCAGAAAGAAGAAACCAAGAGGGAAAACUAGAUGAAAGCCUUCAACUGCAACAUUUGCUAGGGCCUGUCAUUUACAUUUAACCAACACCUGGUAAACAUCUGGUGAACAAAUAUGCUUUCUGGAGAUCAGGGCUUGCAAAACAUGUAAAUUAUUACUUUCAAAAUGCUUAAGAAUAGACUUAGUCAAUGGAACUUAACAAAUGCUUACCUGUUAAAAGAGCUGGGGUCUUUGCCAAUUCAACUGCAUAGGAAGUAACUGACAAAAUAAUCUGUAAAUCUACAUAAUCAGAGUCCAGCAAACAGGGAGGAGGAAAGGAGCUAAAGCCUGUAAAAUACUGCACUAGACUAGGGAGAGAACAGCAAAUAUAAAGUUAAAGGAUCACACAGAAUUACAUAGAAUUUUACAGAGCAGAAUCAGGCUGUUCAUCCCAGCUGAAUGGACGUUAUGAUUUACAAGAGCCCCUGUUUAAUUUACCUAUCAAUAUAUCUUUGAUUCC